GGCAACUUGGCCGAGUGGUCUAAGGCGACGCACUCAAGGAAUCUCCCUUACUCCUCCAAGGAGCUGCAUUGCGUUCUCGCAAGAGGCGUGAGUUCGAAUCUCACAGUUGUCA